GACGAACGCUGGCGGCGUGCUUAACACAUGCAAGUCGAACGGAAAGGCCCUGCUUUUGUGGGGUGCUCGGGUGGCGAACGGGUGAGUAACACGUGAGUAACCUGCCCUUGACUUUGGUAUAACUUCAGGAAACUGGGUCUAAUACCGGAUAUGAGCUCCUGCUGCAUGGUGGGGGUUGGAAAGCUUCGGCGGUUGGGGAUGGACUCGCGGCUUAUCAGCUUGUUGGUGGGGUAGUGGCUUACCAAGGCUUUGACGGGUAGCCGGCCUGAGAGGGUGACCGGGCAAAUUGGGACUGAGAUACGGCACAGAAUAGAACGGGAGGAAGAAGUGGGGAAUAGUGAAGAAUGGGAGGAAGCGUGAUGCAGAAACGCAGCGUGCGGGAUGAAGGACUUCGGGUUGUAAAACGCUUUAGCCUGUGACGAAGCGUGAGUGACGGUAAUGGGUAAAGAAGCACCGGCUAACUACGUG
rnacentral:rRNA from 1 species